rnacentral:ncRNA from 1 species
UUUUAAUCGAUGACAGGAAAUAGUAACAGGGUGAAUUUACUUUAAGAGAGCUGAUGGUUGGUGAAAAUCAGCAGUAAAGACCUGUGAAUCCAUCCUUGAGAGUGGUACUGAAAAGAACUUGAGUAGGUACUGCCGGUAAAACCGAUAUCUUGAUCGAGAGGUAAGUAUUUUUUACAAUACUUGCAAUUUGGGUGGCAACGCGGAUAUUCAAACUUCCGUCCCUCUU